UACGUAGGGUGCAAGCGUUAUCCGGAAUUAUUGGGCGUAAAGAGCUCGUAGGCGGUUUGUUGCGUCUGCUGUGAAAACCGGAGGCUCAACCUCCGGCCUGCAGUGGGUACGGGCAAACUAGAGUGCGGUAGGGGAGAUUGGAAUUCCUGGUGUAGCGGUGGAAUGCGCAGAUAUCAGGAGGAACACCGAUGGCGAAGGCAGAUCUCUGGGCCGUAACUGACGCUGAGGAGCGAAAGCAUGGGAGCGAACAGG
rnacentral:rRNA from 1 species